rnacentral:rRNA from 1 species
AGUGAACGCUGGCGGUAGGCCUAACACAUGCAAGUCGAACGGCAGCACAGGAGAGCUUGCUCUCUGGGUGGCGAGUGGCGGACGGGUGAGGAAUACAUCGGAAUCUACUUUUUCGUGGGGGAUAACGUAGGGAAACUUACGCUAAUACCGCAUACGACCUACGGGGGAAAGCAGGGGAUCUUCGGACCUUGCGCGAUUGAAUGAGCCGAUGUCGGAUUAGCUAGUUGGCGGGGUAAAGGCCCACCAAGGCGACGAUCCGUAGCUGGUCUGAGAGGAUGAUCAGCCACACUGGAACUGAGACACGGUCCAGACUCCUACGGGAGGCAGCAGUGGGGAAUAUUGGACAAUGGGCGCAAGCCUGAUCCAGCCAUACCGCGUGGGUGAAGGAGGCCUUCGGGUUGUAAAGCCCUUUUGUUGGGAAAGAAAUCCAGCUGGCUAAUACCCGGUUGGGAUGACGGUACCCAAAGAAUAAGCACCGGCUAACUUCGUGCCAGCCGCCGCAGUAA